rnacentral:rRNA from 1 species
AGAGGCCCCAAGCGUUAUCCGGAAUUAUUGGGCGUAAAGCGUCCGCAGGCGGGAGCAUCAGUCCACUGUUAAAUCUUAGGGCUCAACCCUCAAGGCCGCAGUGGAUACGGCGCUUCUUGAGGCAGGGAGAGGUAAGCGGAACUCCUGGUGGAGCGGUGAAAUGCGUUGAUAUCAGGGGGAACACCAAUUGCGAAGGCAGCUUACUGGUCCUGUCCUGACGCUCAGGGACGACAGCGUGGGGGAGUGAAUGGGAUUAGAUACCCCAGUAAUCCACGCCGUAAACGAUGCCCGACUAGGCAUUGGGAGUAUCGACCCUCUCAGUGUCGAAGCUAACGCGUUAGGUCGGCCGCCUGGGUAGUACGAGCGCAAGCUUA